GACGAACCGUGCGAACGUUGUUCGGAAUCACUGGGCUUAAAGGGCGCGUAGGCGGGCCGCAUGGUCGGUGGUGAAAUCCCCCAGCUCAACUGGGGGACAGCUUCCGAUACCGGCGGCCUCGAGUGGGGUAGGGGCGUGCGGAACGACGGGUGGAGCGGUGAAAUGCGUUGAUAUCGGGAGGAACACCAGCGGCGAAGGCGGGCAUCUGGGCUAACACUGACGCUGAGGCGCGAAAGCUAGGGGAGCAAACAGGG
rnacentral:rRNA from 1 species